rnacentral:tRNA from 1 species
GUCCUUUGGCCGAAUGGUUAAGGCAUGCGUUGUUUCCCCGUAGGCGAGAGUUCAAAUCUCUCAAGCCACA